GGAGGGGGCAAGCGUUGUUCGGAAUUACUGGGCGUAAAGGGCGCGUAGGCGGUAUGCCAUGUCAGGGGUGAAAGGCCUGGGCUCAACCCAGGAACUGCCUUUGAAACUGGCAAACUAGAGUCCGAUAGAGGAUGGCGGAAUUCCCAGUGUAGAGGUGAAAUUCGUAGAUAUUGGGAAGAACACCAGUGGCGAAGGCGGCCAUCUGGAUCGGCACUGACGCUGAGGCGCGAAAGCGUGGGGAGCAAACAGGGAUUAGAUACCCUGGUAGUCCACGCCGUAAACGAUGUGUGCUAGACGUUGGGGGUCUUAGGCCCCUGGGUGUCGUAGCUAACGCGUUAAGCACACCGCCUGGGGGAGUACGGCCGCAAGGUUA
rnacentral:rRNA from 1 species